UACGUAGGGUGCGAGCGUUUGUCCGGAAUUAUUGGGCGUAAAGGGCUCGUAGGCGGUCCGUCGCGUCGGGAGUGAAAACUCGGAGCUUAAUUCCGAGCCUGCUUCCGAUACGGGCAGACUAGAGGUAGGCAGGGGAGAGCGGAAUUCCUGGUGUAGCGGUGGAAUGCGCAGAUAUCAGGAAGAACACCGGUGGCGAAGGCGGCUCUCUGGGCCUUACCUGACGCUGAGGAGCGAAAGCGUGGGUAGCGAACAGG
rnacentral:rRNA from 1 species